CAACAAUUAACAGCAAUAUUGAGCGUGAGGUAUGAAGAUAACUUACCUGCGGCUAGAAGAUUUUAGCCGGAUUAGUGUUGCAGGUAUAACACUGAUUAAUGGAAAUAUUGAGAGUAAGAGUGAAAUUAGCUUACCUACGGCGAGGAGGUUUUCGCCGGAUUAUUGUUGAGGAUCCUUUGAUGAAGAUGACACCACCUCUUUGGAUAUUAGGGAGACUUGAAGAUGGCCUUCAAGUUGGAACUCUCCACCAAGGUAUGAAGAAUUUCUUCUUCACUCCCCUUCAAGAAACUUUGUAACUAGAAACUCUUAUUUUUCCAAGUAGUUUUCUUUGGUUUGAAGAAUUUCUCCUUCUUACCAAGAAACAUGAAAACUAUAAGAGAAGAGGGAGAAAUGAGAAAGCUAGUAGUAUAGUAGCUUUGGUGUGAUUUUCUUCAAUGAGAGAACUUCCUAUUUAUAGGCAAAGUUAAGGGAGUGUUUGGCAAUUGGUAAUCUUGAUUGGCAAGUUUCAAUCAU